rnacentral:rRNA from 1 species
UACGAAGGGGGCUAGCGUUGCUCGGAAUUACUGGGCGUAAAGGGCGCGUAGGCGGCACGAUUAGUCAGGCGUGAAAUUCCUGGGCUCAACCUGGGGACUGCGCUUGAUACGGUCGAGCUAGAGGAUGGAAGAGGGUCGCGGAAUUCCCAGUGUAGAGGUGAAAUUCGUAGAUAUUGGGAAGAACACCGGUGGCGAAGGCGGCGACCUGGUCCAUUACUGACGCUGAGGCGCGACAGCGUGGGGAGCAAACAGGAUUAGAUACCCCCGUAGUCC